rnacentral:rRNA from 1 species
GUAGGGCGCGAGCGUUGUCCGGAUUUAUUGGGCGUAAAGAGCUCGUAGGCGGCCUGUCGCGUCGUCCGUGAAAACUUGCGGCUUAACUGCAAGCUUGCGGUCGAUACGGGCGGGCUGGAGUUCGGUAGGGGAGACUGGAAUUCCUGGUGUAGCGGUGAAAUGCGCAGAUAUCAGGAGGAACACCGGUGGCGAAGGCGGGUCUCUGGGCCGAUACUGACGCUGAGGAGCGAAAGCGUGGGGAGCGAACAGGAUUAGAUACCCUGGUAGUCCACGCUGUAAACGUUGGGCGCUAGGUGUGGGGGGCCUCUCCGGUUUCCUGUGCCGUAGCUAACGCAUUAAGCGCCCCGCCUGGGGAGUACGGCCGCAAGGCUAAA